GAUGGGAGCUUGCUCCCUGAUGUUAGCGGCGGACGGGUGAGUAACACGUGGGUAACCUGCCUGUAAGACUGGGAUAACUCCGGGAAACCGGGGCUAAUACCGGAUGGUUGUUUGAACCGCAUGGUUCAGACAUAAAAGGUGGCUUCGGCUACCACUUACAGAUGGACCCGCGGCGCAUUAGCUAGUUGGUGAGGUAACGGCUCACCAAGGCGACGAUGCGUAGCCGACCUGAGAGGGUGAUCGGCCACACUGGGACUGAGACACGGCCCAGACUCCUACGGGAGGCAGCAGUAGGGAAUCUUCCGCAAUGGACGAAAGUCUGACGGAGCAACGCCGCGUGAGUGAUGAAGGUUUUCGGAUCGUAAAGCUCUGUUGUUAGGGAAGAACAAGUGCCGUUCAAAUAGGGCGGCACCUUGACGGUACCUAACCAGAAAGCCACGGCUAACUACGUGCCAGCAGCCGCGGUAAUACGUAGGUGGCAAGCGUUGUCCGGAAUUAUUGGGCGUAAAGGGCUCGCAGGCGGUUUCUUAAGUCUGAUGUGAAAGCCCCCGGCUCAACCGGGGAGGGUCAUUGGAAACUGGGGAACUUGAGUGCAGAAGAGGAGAGUGGAAUUCCACGUGUAGCGGUGAAAUGCGUAGAGAUGUGGAGGAACACCAGUGGCGAAGGCGACUCUCUGGUCUGUAACUGACGCUGAGGAGCGAAAGCGUGGGGAGCGAACAGGAUUAGAUACCCUGGUAGUCCACGCCGUAAACGAUGAGUGCUAAGUGGUUAGGGGGUUUCCGCCCCUUAGUGCUGCAGCUAACGCAUAAGCACUCCGCCUGGGGGAGUACGGUCGCAGACUGAACUCA
rnacentral:rRNA from 1 species